rnacentral:rRNA from 1 species
AAACCUGAGGAACCCAAAAGAUCGAAUGGGGAGAUUCAUCGUCAACGAUGCUGGCUUCGCGAUGGCUCGUGAUGUCCACCGGACCUUUGGCACGCGGUCGUUGCGUUUUUGCGUCUGGCUGCGUCGGCGUGCACUUCUCCCCUAGUAGAACGUCGCGACCCGUUGGGUGCCGGUCUACGGCCUGGGUGGAUGCCUGAUCGCGCAUUAUGCGCCAGACACCCGGUGCCAAUGAACCGGCUGCCCGGCGGUACGCUCAUGGUAUCGGGCCGCAAACUCGAACUGCGUCGGGCCUACUUUGCCGCGAAUCAGUCCCUCGGUGGUACGGACCUAGCGCCGUCCCCUUGCCUGACUCGCAUGUGGCAAAUGGUGUCCUCCGACAGGCCCAUAGAUACCGGUCGGCGACGCUAAUGCUUUGGGUAAUCUCAGGACCCGUCUUGAAACACGGACCAAGGAGUCUAACAUGUGCGCGAGUCAUUGGGAACCGCAAGCCUAAAGGCGAAAUGAAAGUGAAGGUCGGCCUUAGCGCCGACCGAGGGAGGAUGGGCCGCGUUACGAUGCGGCUCCGCACUCCCGGGGCGUCUCGUUCUCAU